UACGGAGGAUCCAAGCGUUAUCCGGAUUUACUGGGUUUAAAGGGUGCGUAGGCGGGCAGGUAAGUCAGUGGUGAAAUCUUCGAGCUUAACUCGGAAACUGCCUUUGAUACUAUCUGUCUUGAAUAUUGUGGAGGUAAGCGGAAUAUGUCAUGUAGCGGUGAAAUGCUUAGAUAUGACAUAGAACACCUAUUGCGAAGGCAGCUUACUACGCAUAUAUUGACGCUGAGGCACGAAAGCGUGGGGAUCAAACAGG
rnacentral:rRNA from 1 species